rnacentral:rRNA from 1 species
UACGUAGGGUCCGAGCGUUGUCCGGAAUUACUGGGCGUAAAGAGCUCGUAGGUGGUUUGUCGCGUUGUUCGUGAAAACUCACAGCUCAACUGUGGGCGUGCGGGCGAUACGGGCAGACUAGAGUACUGCAGGGGAGACUGGAAUUCCUGGCGUAGCGGUGGAAUGCGCAGAUAUCAGGAGGAACACCGGUGGCGAAGGCGGAUCUCUGGGCCAUAACUGACGUGAGGAGCGAAAGCAUGGGGAGCGAACAGG